AUUUUACUAGGAGUAAUCCAGCAGACUGCUUAGGAUAGCAGGAAUUUCUGAUGUUAAGGUUGAUGUUUAGGCAGUCAGUUGAGAUUUCUUGACUUGGAUUUGUGCAUUGGGUUGGCCACAUGGUGAAUAAUAAGUAAGCUUACUGCAGGAAGGCAAUAUUGACAUGCAGGCUCAAAUGUAAAAUGUUGGUUUCUAGAUCAGUGUGAGCAUGCUCUGAGUACUUGAC
rnacentral:lncRNA from 1 species